CCUACGGGAGGCAGCAGUAGGGAAUCUUCCACAAUGGGCGAAAGCCUGAUGGAGCAACGCCGCGUGGGUGAAGAAGGUCUUCGGAUCGUAAAACCCUGUUGUUAGAGAAGCAAGUGCGUGAGAGUAACUGUUCACGUUUCGACGGUAUCUAACCAGAAAGCCACGGCUAACUACGUGCCAGCAGCCGCGGUAAUACGUAGGUGGCAAGCGUUAUCCGGAUUUAUUGGGCGUAAAGGGGACGCAGGCGGUCUUUUAAGUCUGAUGUGAAAGCCUUCGGCUUAACCGGAGUAGUGCAUUGGAAACUGGGAGACGUGAGUGCAGAAGAGGAGAGUGGAACUCCAUGUGUAGCGGUGAAAUGCGUAGAUAUAUGGAAGAACACCAGUGGCGAAAGCGGCUCUCUGGUCUGUAACUGACGCUGAGGUUCGAAAGCGUGGGUAGCAAACAGGAUUAGAUACCCUUGUAGUC
rnacentral:rRNA from 1 species